rnacentral:rRNA from 1 species
UACGGGGGGGGCAAGCGUUGUUCGGAAUUACUGGGCGUAAAGGGCUUGUAGGCGGCCAACUAAGUCCGACGUGAAAUCCCCAGGCUUAACCUGGGAACUGCGUCGGAUACUGGAUGGCUUGAAUUCGGGAGAGGGAUGUGGAAUUCCAGGUGUAGCGGUGAAAUGCGUAGAUAUCUGGAGGAACACCGGUGGCGAAGGCGGCAUCCUGGACCGACACUGACGCUGAUGCGCGAAAGCCAGGGGAGCAAACGGG